rnacentral:rRNA from 1 species
CUAUGGCUAGAUAAAGUACAAGUCGUAACAAGGUUUCAGUUGGAGAACCAGCUGAAGGAUCAUUU